UUGCCAUGUCUACUUACCGGUAUUGUUCUUCUAGUUGUGAUGCAACCUGACUUCAAUUUCCACUAUCAUGCAUAUAUUGAUGUAUUAUGUACCCUGCAAAAAAAAACUAUUGAUGUAUUAUGUAUGCUAGUUCAUAUAGUUUUUAUGUAUACGUGGCGCAAAUCCAGCCAAAAAAAACUAUUGACCUAAUUAGUUGAAAG
rnacentral:lncRNA from 1 species